CCCCCCCCCACUCCCGAGAUCCCGGCGUCCCGCCUCCUAUCGCGCUCUUCCCCAUUGCGCAAUCGCCCUAGCUCUUCUCCCCGAGCUCGCCCAAGCCACUGUCGCGCCCCCCUCCCCCUCAUCCCGCCGCACGCCUCUCUCCGCGCUCACCCCCGCCCCCGUCGCGCCCUCCACUCCACCUCGCGCCGCUGCAUCCGCGCACCUCUCCCUGCGCUCGCCGGGGCAGCGAGACGAGGAGGUCACAGGGCCACAAGCGCAGUGCGCUCUGCCGCCGUGGCCUCCCGUGCCCGUUACACCGCCGAUAAGAAGCUGGCAAGGCAGGCCCCCACACUGGCGGGCGCUCAAGGGAUCCCCACCAGUCUCCGGCGACUCCUACUGGCUGCAAGCCUCCGCGCUGCGCCCAUGGAGGGGCUCUCCCUCAUCGACGUCUCCGGUGAGGCGAGAUCUUGCGAAGCACCCCGUGGAGCUCGGGUGCAAAGAUCCAAAUCACCAAGGACGUCGAUGUGGACACAACUGCCCUCCUACACCCAUUGCUUGAAGGUUUGUUCUUUCUGUACUCUAAUAAUCCCUGUCCACGUAUAUGCUGUUUCCCAUGUCCAUGGAUGAUUGGAGUGUACUGUACAGAAAAUGAAUUUACACUGUGAAUCUUCAGUUUGGUAGCAGGUAGCACUAUGACAGUUUCUGUUUACUGAUCUGUUGCCGAGCUCGCACACAUGCUUGUUUUAUUAGUUCAAUACGAGAUGUGAUUACUUUUAUCAAUUUGCAAAUAGUAGCACAGAAGAGAUGUAAUUUUUUUUUCUUAUGUUUAAUAUGAGCCUCUUCUGUCAAUGGUCUGACAUUCUAUCAAUGGAUUUAGCAAUUGCUGGACCCAGUAAUCAUGUUACUGAUGUACUGCUCAUUUAAAAUGUAUAUAUGUAUGAUUGUAGAUGGAAAAUGACAAAGCAACAUGAGAUGUCCAGGUUAAUGUUUCGUAGAUAUUUGCCUGGAAGAAAUAGUUGCUCAUGAUAGGUUGUUUUGUAAUUGCUGGCUUGACAUACUUUCUUCUUAAAGUUUUGGAGCAAAUAUAUGAGUUCUUUUGUGGAGUAUCAAAUACUUCAACAGAACUACAUAAUAAGUACUAAAAAUAGCUUAAAUGAUGAUCUCUUAGUUAAUAAUGGCUAAAGAAAGUGAAAUAGCUGAUUUAGAAUUAAGAGUAGUACUGAGCUUCGAUCUGUUAGUAGAGAAAAACCGAAUGCAUUAGCUUAUAGUACAAAACAGAAGUAUGAUAGCAAUGAAUUGUCAUGCAGUGAAUUCUGAAGAUGAGAAGCAGACAUGAUCUAACUGGAAGAAUAUAUAUGAAGGAUCCUGCAACAAUCUGUUUAAUCCCCCCCCCCCCCCCCGUUGAUUUCCUAUUGUUAGAGGUAGAGAGUUGAACAAAUGUAACUCUCCACUAGGAUAAAUAAAUUGAUGUGCCUAUUCAAUGUGGUAUGAUCUUUUGACAGUUGCAUGAAGCAGUGCAGAAUGUUCAGUUUAAUUUUGACUAUUUGGUGACUUGUGCUUCAGGCCGCGACUAGCUUAAGUUAAUCACAGCUAUUUCUAGGUCAACUUUCAUGAUAUUUAUGUUGAACAUAUCCUCCUAAAGCAAUCAGGACCAUGAUCUUUUGUAUGAAGUCCUCGCCUUGAUGGAAAUUGCAAAACCAUAAUAUUUUCAGUUUGUUCAGUUUCUUUUCCUCCAUUCAAGGGUGCUGUCUCUCCUGUCUCCUUUGAGGACACUAACCCUACAAGUAAGACUUUCCAAUUUUUCCUUUUAAUUAUGAUUGGUUGCUAAUAACCUUCUUUCUGUACAGUGCUCAAAAUUAUUCUAUCUUGCUAGGUUUGAUGCAAGUAAUUUGUUAAAAUUCUUAUUUUUAUCAAUGCAUAAUUUGAACUACGAACUGUUGGUAGUUGUUUAUAGUUCAGUUUGUAUUACUCACAUUAUUUGGUGGUCCUCAGUUCAUGAAUAAUCCUCUUGCCAUUGCACUUUUAGGCCCUUCCUUUCAGCAUCCGCAUAAAGUUUUCAAGAUUACAUUCUUGAUAUAAUAUGAUUGCAUCUAUAUGUUCUCCUAAAUAGACCUGUCUUUCUUAUAUAAUGCAGUUGGUUCUUGCAUAUUCACACCAAUUUUCAAGUUUUCAUAUGUCGUCAAGUAAAGGUCGAAUAUUCUUGCACUUACAAGGCAUACCUAAAUGGCUUGGUUCAAUAUUUUGGUUUCAGAAGUUGUGAGUUGUGACAACUAUGACGUGGUAUAAUGUUGGUACUCCUAAUAUAUGAGCUGCCUAGCUAUUCCUCAUCUUGCUGGUUGCCAUGUCACUACGAGAGUGGGGGUACAAAGAGCCGCGGAGAGCAUUGCCGGAGCUGACUGAUACGGUUGUGACCGAGCAUUGCCUAUAAAACAUGACCAUGGAUUCAAGAAUGAUUGAAAUAUUAUGUGUGAUAUCUGUAUAUUUUUCUAUCUUUGGAACUAGACAAUUGGCCAUCAGUUCUAAAAGACUACUGCUUAAGGAGUGCAUCGCUAAUAAGUGCAGUUGGCAUUACAUUUUAAAUCAGCUGUUUGAAUUGAAUGAUCUCCGACCAAAUACAAAGCAUAUUCUUCGAAAUA